rnacentral:rRNA from 1 species
UACAGAGGUCUCAAGCGUUGUUCGGAUUCAUUGGGCGUAAAGGGUGCGUAGGCGGCGCGGUAAGUCGGGUGUGAAAUCUUGGAGCUUAACUCCGAAAACUGCAUUCGAUACUGCCGUGCUUGAGGACUGGAGAGGAGACUGGAAUUUACGGUGUAGCGGUGAAAUGCGUAGAUAUCGUAAGGAAGACCAGUGGCGAAGGCGGGUCUCUGGACAGUUCCUUGACGCUGAGGCACGAAGGCCAGGGGAGCAAACGGG